ACUUAUUUACAUAUCACUUCCCCCUUCUUGAGUGACGUCAACUCAAAGAGUGGAAAGAAGACGAUACAGUUUUUUGAUUUCCAAGCAAGUAAUUUAGUGGACAUGUUUCCAUUAUAUGAUUAGGAAUUGUUCAGGGUCCCACUAUUCCAAGUGGCAUUUCAAUAGCUAUUAUUCCCCCUAAUCCACGUGGCAGAUCUUCAACAUUUCUUCUUUCAAUCUCUCAUUCACUUAAACUACGUCGUUUCUACUCUCAACUACUUUCCCUUUCUAUGCGUUACUCACUAUGUAUUCUCUCUCCCUAAACCCUCACACCGUUCAACUCCUUUCUUCCCUCACCGAUGUCGUUCCUGCGUUCCGCGAUCGACCUCCUCUCAGGCUGUGCCGCGACCUCUCCGACGUCGUUCCGCUGUUUCUUCCCUACUCGAAGCCGUUUUCCAUCUUUCUCAGGCAAGGUACUGAUAAAUUGUAGAAAUAACAACAAGCUUUUUCACCGUGAUGCUUGCUUCAAUUUUAGUCUUCACACCAAUGCACUGCUGGAUUCAAGUGUCACUUUUUUGGACAAUUUAC